rnacentral:rRNA from 1 species
GACGAACGCUGGCGGCGUGCUUAACACAUGCAAGUCGAACGGAAAGGCCCUGCUUGCAGGGUACUCGAGUGGCGAACGGGUGAGUAACACGUGGGUGAUCUGCCCUGCACUUCGGGAUAAGCCUGGGAAACUGGGUCUAAUACCGGAUAGGAGCUAUUUUUAGUGUGAUGGUUGGAAAGUUUUUUCGGUGUAGGAUGAGCUCGCGGCCUAUCAGCUUGUUGGUGGGGUAAUGGCCUACCAAGGCGGCGACGGGUAGCCGGCCUGAGAGGGUGGACGGCCACAUUGGGACUGAGAGACGGCCCAGACUCCUACGGGAGGCAGCAGUGGGGAAUAUUGCACAAUGGGCGCAGGCCUGAUGCAGCGACGCCGCGUGGGGGAUGACGGCCUUCGGGUUGUAAACUCCUUUCGCUAGGGACGAAGCUUUUUGUGACGGUACCUAGAUAAGAAGCACCGGCUAACUACGUG